rnacentral:rRNA from 1 species
AACGAACGCUGGCGGCAGGCCUAACACAUGCAAGUCGAGCGAAGCCUUCGGGCUUAGCGGCGGACGGGUGAGUAAUGCGUGGGAACGUGACCUUUGGUACGGAAUAGACCCGGGAAACUGGGAGUAAUAACGUAUGUGGUCGAGAGACGAAAGGUUUAUAGCCACAGGAACGGCCCGAGUUGGCUAAGGAAGUCGGUGGGGGAAUGGCCUACCAAGCCGACGAUCCAUAGCCGGUAUGAGAGGAUGCACAGCCACACGUGGACUGAGACACGGCCGAAGCACCUACAGGAGGCAUCAGUUUAAAAUCUUAGACAAUGGUAGAAACCCUGAUCUAACCAUGCCGCGUGAUCGAUGAAGGCCUUAUGGUUUUAAAAAUCCUUCAGUGAGGAAGAUAAUGACUGUUCCCACAGAAUAAGCCCCGGCUAACUCCGUGCCAGCAGCCGCAGUAACAC